ACUCAAUGAUUGAUCAGGAGAGAUACUUCGAAUUACAUUUCAUGCCCAGAUAUGUUGGGCCCAAUGCGUCUUUGCUCCAACCAUCACAAACUGACAAACGGAUGGUGACCGUGAUACUGAUAGUAACAGCUGAGUAAGGCUACAUGUACCCCGAUCAUCACUGAAAGGCAACCGGGAUGCAGUCUUUAAAUCUGGAGUUCUGGGCAGAACUGUGCAUUUCUGGAACAAUGAUGAGUUUAAGUGAAAUGGUAAUUUGUCAUGAAUUUCUACAUGUACCCUGACCAUCUUUGAAAGGCAACUGGGAUACAGUGCAGUCUUUAUCUGGAAUUCUUGGCAGAACUGGACAUUCCUGGAACAAUGAUCAAUUCAAGUGAAACAGACUCGGGUGCAAGCAGACAUUCUUGUAAUUACAGAAUGUAUUCCUUAAGAGAGGCAACAUGUGACCUGAAAACAAUUCUAUUCAGAUCUAUUUAAGGAAUGAAUUCAAUAUCUAAUUCAUCCAAGUAUAUACUGGGUUUGGGCAGUUUGCGCUUUUUUAAACUGCUAAGUGGUUUAUGAAAAAGCACAUUUUUGAACUUGCAAAAGAAAUCAGACCAACUGCUGAUAUACGUGGUUUUCAGUGAGUUAAUCAACGAUUAUCUAUGAAAAGUUAGCUACACUGAACAGUUUCUUUUUUACAUGAGUAUAUAUACCUGAAACCCAUUGCACAUCAUAAGAAUUUUAUUUUAUUUUGGACAGUGCUCUUGUUGUAAAGUGUUAUGUGUAAUGCAUGCGAGUUGUGGACGGGGUUUGUAGUCAUCUGAGAACAAGGAUUGGCACGUUGGGUGGACUUGGAGAAAUCUUUAUAUGCUAAACCCAGUUUUAGAAGAAACGAAGAAAGCAAACACCAGAUCAGUUCCAACUAAUAGAGCUGUCAAUCAGGAUAAGCAAUAAAACAUGUUGACCAAAUUGGCACUCGGCUGUAAUAAAACAUUGUAUGUAGGGAACAUGUACUAGAAGGAAAGAGCGUUUAUGUAUACAUUUAGUUUUUAUGUAAUAUUCAUUAAUUAUUAUUAUAUGAUUGAUAUUAAAUAUGUAAGGCCACACCAAUUUGUAAAAUAGUUCUUCGGAUUUUCAAACAAAAAAAGUGAGGCGAGAGGGCGAAAUUAUUUCACAAAUAUUAUUUUUAAUUUUGGAGAUAAAAAUUAUGAGGCGAGCGAAUACAAGAAAUAUAAAUAUUUUUAAUUGAAUUAAGUGUGAUUUUAAAAAGCGGGCGCCUAAAAAUAAAGAUCUAAAAUCAUCAGAUAUCAUUUGUUUACCACAUAAACUUAAUAUUUUUCAACUUUGUUGAUAUAGUUUACAAUAAAUAAGAAGUAUUUCAGGUU